rnacentral:rRNA from 1 species
ACGCUCGACACCUACGGGAUGCAGCAGUGGGGAAUAUUGCACAAUGGGGGAAACCCUGAUGCAGCAACGCCGCGUGAAGGAAGACGGUUUUCGGAUUGUAAACUUCUGUUCUUAGUGAAGAUAGUGACGGUAGCUAAGGAGCAAGCCACGGCUAACUACGUGCCAGCAGCCGCGGUAAUCUGAGGCGGGCUGGCAAGGC